GAUGAAGCUUCUAGCUUGCUAGGUGGAUUAGUGGCGCACGGGUGAGUAACGCAUAGAUAACAUGCCCUUUAGUUUGGGAUAGCCACUAGAAAUGGUGAUUAAUACCAAAUACUACCCUACGGGGGAAAGAUUUAUCGCUAAAGGAUUGGUCUAUGUCCUAUCAGCUUGUUGGUGAGGUAAAGGCUCACCAAGGCGAUGACGGGUAUCCGGCCUGAGAGGGUGAACGGACACACUGGAACUGAGACACGGUCCAGACUCCUACGGGAGGCAGCAGUAGGGAAUAUUGCUCAAUGGGCGCAAGCCUGAAGCAGCAACGCCGCGUGGAGGAUGAAGGUUUUAGGAUUGUAAACUCCUUUUGUCAGAGAAGAU
rnacentral:rRNA from 1 species